CCUACGUGUGGCAGCAGUGAGGAAUAUUGGUCAAUGGGCGCGAGCCUGAACCAGCCAAGUAGCGUGAAGGAUGACUGCCCUACGGGUUGUAAACUUCUUUUAUAAAGGAAUAAAGUGAGGCACGUGUGCCUUUUUGUAUGUAUUUUAUGAAUAAGGAUCGGCUAACUCCGUGCCAGCAGCCGCGGUAAUACGGAGGAUCCGAGCGUUAUCCGGAUUUAUUGGGUUUAAAGGGAGCGUAGAUGGGUUGUUAAGUCAGUUGUGAAAGUUUGCGGCUCAACCGUAAAAUUGCAAUUGAUACUGGCAGCCUUGAGUCCGCGGAAAGCAGGCGGAAUUCGUCGUGUAGCGGUGAAAUGCUUAGAUAUGACGAAGAACCCCGAUUGCGAAGGCAGCUUGCUGCAGCGGAACUGACGCUGAUGCUCGAAAGCGCGGGUAUCGAACAGGAUUAGAUACCCUUGUAGUC
rnacentral:rRNA from 1 species